GAUGAACGCUGGCGGCGUGCCUAAUACAUGCAAGUCGAGCGAACAGACGAGGAGCUUGCUCCUCUGACGUUAGCGGCGGACGGGUGAGUAACACGUGGAUAACCUACCUAUAAGACUGGGAUAACUUCGGGAAACCGGAGCUAAUACCGGAUAAUAUAUUGAACCGCAUGGUUCAAUAGUGAAAGACGGUUUUGCUGUCACUUAUAGAUGGAUACGCGCCGCAUUAGCUAGUUGGUAAGGUAACGGCUUACCAAGGCAACGAUGCGUAGCCGACCUGAGAGGGUGGAUGGCCAGCCUGGAACUGAGAAAGGGUCCAGACUCCUACGGGAGGCCGCAGUAGGGAAUCUUACGCAAUGGGCGAAAGCUUGACGGAGCAACGCCGCGUGAGUGAUGAAGGUCUUCGGAUCGUAAAACUCUGUUAUUAGGGAAGAACAAAUGUGUAAGUAACUAUGCACGUCUUGACGGUACCUAAGCAGAAAGCCACGGCUAACUACGUG
rnacentral:rRNA from 1 species